CUAUAUGAUAUAGUGACAAUGUAAAUCCAACAGGACAAAACUGGACUUAUCAACAAAAUAAACCGGGGUUAGUUCUCACCACUUCCGAUUAUAUACUCCUCCACCUUGAAACAGAUAAUAAAAAGCAUGCUAAGGAAAACUCCAGAACACCGACCUACAGCUGCCGAGCUGUUGAGACAUCAACAUUUGCAACCAUACCUCCUCUUGUGUCACAACCCUUCAUCUGCGUUUCUUCCUGUGUAGUCCCCGAGCAGAACAAAAGAGAAAACACGACCAUCACCUG